ACAGAGCCCAACGUGAGAUCAUGACCUGAGCCGAAGUCAGAUGCUUAACCGACUGAGCCACCCAGGCACCCCUCAUCUUCCUUGUUUUAAAUAUGGACACUGCCUCCCAGGCUUAAAUUUGCUGAGAUACAGUGUCCUGUCUGAAGUUUGACACUGCAGUUUUUAUUCAAAAGCCACCUGGACCCAUCAGACUCAAGCAGGAUGCCCAGUGGAAAGAAGGUUACAGUGUCCAGUCCAACAAAGGAAAGGUUUGGCAUUCAUGUGCUUUCUGUUCUGAAGAUGAGAAUCACUUCUGCUUGAUUUUCAUUCUUGGAAGAAAAAAAUAACGAGCUGUUGUCCUCGGAUUUGAUGACAUGAUGUGAAAGAGGAACGGAACAAAGAUUGGCUGUACCCACAGAGUUCGUCAGGGAUUGGGUCUCCAGGCAGAUUUCUUCUUCCCGGGUGAGUGUCCGGGGGCUUCACAGGCACCAGCAGGGAGGCACCCAGGACACAAGUGGGCAGACCCUAAUCUGGGGAAGGGCUACUCUUGCACCCCCUCUGUGCUUCAGCCUCCACCCCUACUUGCCACCCUCUAUAUCGAUGGUAUGUGCCUGAGGCUGCAAAACUGAUGGAAAUCAGUUUAGAGGGAAAUGAGGAAAAGCAGAGAAUUCGACCAAGAGGUGGCCUGUUGUCACGCAUCACUGUCUUAUGCUGCCUCCUGAGCUCCUGUCAUCUGUGGAGGAUGCGUACAUGAUGUUCUUCAUAGCACAAUUCUCCUUUGUUUUUCUUGAAAAUUUUUUGCAAGGUCAUGUUUUUCCAAACAAUUUUAUCAGGAGUAGAGUUUGAGGUCUGCUCUUUUUGAACCUACCGAAAAGUGGAAUGUUUUUCCCUGGCAAAUGAUUACUUCUUUGAAAAGCAGACAAGCUUCU